UGAUUCUGGAGAGGGAGCUUUAAAGAUAGCUACCACAUCUAAGGAAGGCAGCAGGCACGCAAAUUACCCAAUUGUCGAUGACAGAGGUAGUAAUAAUAAAUAACAAUACAGGACUCGUCCGAGGCCUUGUAAUUGGAAUGUUUUUAAGAUAAAGACAUGAAGGAGGAACUAUUAGAGGGCAAGUCUGGUGCCAGCAGCCGCGGUAAUUCCAGCUCUAAUAGCGUAUUUUAAUGUUGUUGCGGUUGAAAAGCUCGUAGUUGGAUAUCAUUGAUUGUAUAAGUUCAAUGUGAAUUGUUCUUAUACAGGAGAGGGAAGUCAAGCGGUGAAAAUAAAUGUUUAUAUCCACAUAACGCCUGGCUUAAGUUACUUUGAAUAAAUCAAAGUGCUCAAUACAAGCUUUUGCUUGAAUAUAUGUGCAUGGGAUAACGCAAGAAGAUCAAUAUCGAAUCUGUUGGUUGAAUCGAUAUGGGUAAUGAUUAAUAGAGAUUGACGGGGGCAUUUGUAUUUGAAAGCGAGAGGUGAAAUUCUGUGACCUUUCAAAGACAUGCUAAAGCGAAAGCACUUGCCAAGAAUGUUUUCACUAAUCAAGAACGAAAGUUAGAGGCUCGAAGGCGAUUAGAUACCGCCCUAGUUCUAACCAUAAACAAUGCCAACUAACAAUCUUGUGUAGUUUAAGUUGAAACUAACAAGGAAGUUUUCGGAAAACCAAAGUUUUUGGGUUCCGGGGGUAGUAUGGUUGCAAAGCUGAAACUUAAAGUAAUUGACGGAGUGGCACCACCAGGAGUGGAGCCUGUGGCUUAAUUUGACCCAACACGGGGAAGCUCACCAGGGCAAGACACUAUUAGGAUUGACAGAUUGAUAGCUCUUUCUCGAUAAAGUGGGUGGUGGUGCAUGGCCGUUCUUAGUUGGUGGAGUGAUUUGUCUGGUUAAUUCCGAUAACGAACGAGACUCUGACCAAUUACUAGUGAAAUCUUUUGAAAAGAAAGUUACCGCAGUAUGCAGUUUCAUUCGAGAUUUUACUUCUUAAGGGGACACGCUAUUGUGAAUAGCACGAGGAAGAGCAAUAACAGGUCUGUGAUGCCCUUAGAUGUUCUGGGCUGCACACGCGCUACAAUAAAUUAAUCAACAAGUUCUCCGUUUUGACAGAUGCGGGCAAACUUUUGAAAUUAAUUUAUGGUAGGAAUGGGAACUUGCAAUUAUUUUCCCUGAACUAGGAA
rnacentral:rRNA from 1 species